AAAUUGAAGAGUUUGAUCAUGGCUCAGAUUGAACGCUGGCGGCAGGCCUAACACAUGCAAGUCGAGCGGUAACACAGAGAGCUUGCUCUCGGGUGACGAGCGGCGGACGGGUGAGUAAUGUCUGGGAAACUGCCUGAUGGAGGGGGAUAACUACUGGAAACGGUAGCUAAUACCGCAUAACGUCGCAAGACCAAAGUGGGGGACCUUCGGGCCUCAUGCCAUCAGAUGUGCCCAGAUGGGAUUAGCUAGUAGGUGGGGUAAUGGCUCACCUAGGCGACGAUCCCUAGCUGGUCUGAGAGGAUGACCAGCCACACUGGAACUGAGACACGGUCCAGACUCCUACGGGAGGCAGCAGUGGGGAAUAUUGCACAAUGGGCGCAAGCCUGAUGCAGCCAUGCCGCGUGUAUGAAGAAGGCCUUCGGGUUGUAAAGUACUUUCAGCGAGGAGGAAGGCGUUAAGGUUAAUAACCUUGAUGAUUGACGUUACUCGCAGAAGAAGCACCGGCUAACUCCGUGCCAGCAGCCGCGGUAAUACGGAGGGUGCAAGCGUUAAUCGGAAUUACUGGGCGUAAAGCGCACGCAGGCGGUCUGUCAAGUCGGAUGUGAAAUCCCCGGGCUCAACCUGGGAACUGCAUUCGAAACUGGCAGGCUAGAGUCUUGUAGAGGGGGGUAGAAUUCCAGGUGUAGCGGUGAAAUGCGUAGAGAUCUGGAGGAAUACCGGUGGCGAAGGCGGCCCCCUGGACAAAGACUGACGCUCAGGUGCGAAAGCGUGGGGAGCAAACAGGAUUAGAUACCCUGGUAGUCCACGCCGUAAACGAUGUCGACUUGGAGGUUGUGCCCUUGAGGCGUGGCUUCCGGAGCUAACGCGUUAAGUCGACCGCCUGGGGAGUACGGCCGCAAGGUUAAAACUCAAAUGAAUUGACGGGGGCCCGCACAAGCGGUGGAGCAUGUGGUUUAAUUCGAUGCAACGCGAAGAACCUUACCUACUCUUGACAUCCAGAGAACUUAGCAGAGAUGCUUUGGUGCCUUCGGGAACUCUGAGACAGGUGCUGCAUGGCUGUCGUCAGCUCGUGUUGUGAAAUGUUGGGUUAAGUCCCGCAACGAGCGCAACCCUUAUCCUUUGUUGCCAGCGAUUCGGUCGGGAACUCAAAGGAGACUGCCAGUGAUAAACUGGAGGAAGGUGGGGAUGACGUCAAGUCAUCAUGGCCCUUACGAGUAGGGCUACACACGUGCUACAAUGGCAUAUACAAAGAGAAGCGACCUCGCGAGAGCAAGCGGACCUCAUAAAGUAUGUCGUAGUCCGGAUUGGAGUCUGCAACUCGACUCCAUGAAGUCGGAAUCGCUAGUAAUCGUAGAUCAGAAUGCUACGGUGAAUACGUUCCCGGGCCUUGUACACACCGCCCGUCACACCAUGGGAGUGGGUUGCAAAAGAAGUAGGUAGCUUAACCUUCGGGAGGGCGCUUACCACUUUGUGAUUCAUGACUGGGGUGAAGUCGUAACAAGGUAACCGUAGGGGAACCUGCGGUUGGAUCACCUCCUUACCUUAAAGAA
rnacentral:rRNA from 1 species